rnacentral:rRNA from 1 species
UACGUAGGUGGCAAGCGUUGUCCGGAAUUAUUGGGCGUAAAGCGCGCGCAGGCGGUUUCUUAAGUCUGAUGUGAAAUCCCACGGCUCAACCGUGGAGGGUCAUUGGAAACUGGGGGACUUGAGUGCAGAAGAGGAGAGUGGAAUUCCACGUGUAGCGGUGAAAUGCGUAGAGAUGUGGAGGAACACCAGUGGCGAAGGCGGCUCUCUGGUCUGUAACUGACGCUGAGGCGCGAAAGCGUGGGGAGCAAACAGG